CCCAGUUUGUGGUACUUUGCUCUGGCAACCCUAGCAAAGAAUACAGAGGGACUAAAAGGAGGUCCACGGAUGCGCUGCUGAAACCAGGAAUCCAGGUCAGGCCCGAUUUGUCCUGUUCCAACUAGAGAUGUGCUCCUCCUUCAGGAAGAAAUCCUGCUUUUGCCAGAAUGUACUCUUGUCUCUCCUUCUGGCCCUUUGGGCUCAAGAGUUCCACUGCUGUGAUUCAUGCAGAACAAAGAGGGAGCGCCUCAGCCUGGCUGUCAAGCCCUUCAUCCAUUCACCGAUGUAUUCAUUCAGCAAGCGACUGCCAGCCGCCUAUCAGGAGAGAGGUUCCCUACAUGCCCUGUGCAAGCCGAACAGUAGCUCAAUGUUGGGGCCUUCUUAGCUGUCUGUUCCUGCUCACACUGCCAGAAUCAACUGCUGCCGACGUCCUCAUUCUACCACCUGAACCUGACCAAUGAAAUGUGACCCGUGGUCAACUUUAACAUCAGCAAAUCAGAACUGAACAAGCUUGCAUCCCUCAGAUGCAAUGGGAACUGGGAUUAGAAUCUAAGCAGAAACUUUUUCUAUGCAGGAUAGCCCUUCUCUUUGUUCUGGCAGACGUGCCUUUGUUUUAUACUGAAGGCUGAGUCUCCCCAGUUGGCAAACUGCUGGUUGGAAUAAAGACUCUUUUUAAAAACAUUCCUUUUCAGUGGAUUCGUUAACACCCUAUUCGAGGCCAGCAGGAUGAUAACUCCUUGGAAUUCAAAACUGAACAAAGAGACAAAGAGACCUGGAGAGAUGGGUGUUUGUUCCAUAGUUCCUUGAGCAGAUCCCUGCUAUCAGAGCAUUCCUGUAUAUGCUGCUUCUUCACACUUGGGGAAGCCUUGGGAGCCAGAAUGCCUGGGUUUGAAUCCCAGCUCACUGACCCUGUGACAUUAGGUGAGUCACUUACUCUCCCUGCCCUCAUUUUCCUCAAAUGCAAAAGGCGGGUAAUAGCAGUAAGUGCCUAACAGCUAUAGUGAGGAUUAGGUGAGUUAAUAACUGUAAAAUGCACCUGGCACAUAUUCAAUGCUAUCUACGUGCUCCCUGUUGUUACAGUUUCAAACCUGGCUCUCAAAGUUCGUAUUGAUUCUGUGAGUGCUCAAGAAAAAAGCAAUAUUUUUUGCUUUUUGUUGGGAGGGAGGGAUGGGGGUCUCAUUUUGUUGUCCAGUCUGGAUUGCAGUGGUGCCAUCAUGAAGCACUGCAGGCUUAAACACCUGAGCUCAAGUGAUCCUCCCUGCCUCAGCCUCCCAAGUAACUAGGAUGUUGGGCACGUGCCACCAUGCCCAAGUAAUUUUUAUAUUUUGUUAUUUUUACUUUUUGUAGAGAUGAGGUUUUGCUGUGUUGCCCAGGUUGGUCUCAAAUUCCUGGCCUCAAGUGAUCCUCUUGCCUCAACCUCCCAAAGCACUGAGAUUACAGGUGUGAGCCACUCUGCCUGGCCUAUUUUUCUGAUAAUUUCCUUUUGAUUCAAGUUAGCCAGAGUUGGAUUCCUUUGCUCAGAGCAAAGGACUCUAGCAGAUUUAGUGGUUAGGAUGCCCAACAAAUGCAAAGACAGCUAUGCUAUAAUUAGUGAUUCAUGCUGAGCCUUGGUAUAGUCCAUGCUUGUGGAGAUGGUGAUGAUGAGAGGUCUCUUCUUUAUCCCUUCCACAACUCAGCUUCAGACUCUGACUCCCAAAAUCCUGACUGCUUAGGAGUUCCCCACGAGCUCCUGCCCCAAGGCUUGCAGGGAGGAGCAACCUAUCUUGUUAACAGUGAAUUUUAAGUUGCCAGGAUUGAUAUGUCAGAGCCACCAACCAAAUUUUCUUAGCUAGAACUUAAUGCUGAAGUCAAAAUAAAAAGAGGCAGGACUGAUGGGCAGUACUGCCAGAAACUGACUUCCAGUCAUUAGCUAUAUCCGCAGGCACACGGGGGCUUCUUCCUCUGACAAGGCAGUCAGUGAGGGCCAAAUGACCUUCAAAAGCUCACGUGUGCAGGAGCCAACCCCAGAGUAAUUGGGAAAUCCAUGCCUCCCCUUGGACUUGGGCUUGUCAGUUCCUGCUGAAGUGGGCAGACAGUGGCAGAGCCGGUACCCACCCUCAAGAUGCAAGCCACCUUCACAUGACCUGCCAAGGAGCUGUGUGCCUCUGUGCCUGUGCCCUUGCCAUUCAUCUGCUGGAUGUGCCCUUUCCCAUGGCUGCACCGGUGCCCCACGGUCAUCCAAACCUCAGCUCAAGUGUCCCUUCCUUAUGCUGGAUUGUGCAACCUCCCCCUUCA
rnacentral:lncRNA from 10 species